rnacentral:rRNA from 1 species
UGGGGAAUAUUGGACAAUGGGCGCAAGCCUGAUCCAGCCAUGCCGCGUGUGUGAGGAAGGCCUUCGGGUUGUAAAGCACUUUUGUCCGGAAAGAAAUCCUGUCGGCUAAUACCCGGCGGGGAUGACGGUACCGGAAGAAUAAGCACCGGCUAACUUCGUGCCAGCAGCCGCGGUAAUACGAAGGGUGCAAGCGUUACUCGGAAUUACUGGGCGUAAAGCGUGCGUAGGUGGUUUGUUAAGUCUGAUGUGAAAGCCCUGGGCUCAACCUGGGAACUGCAUUGGAUACUGGCUUACUAGAGUGCGGUAGAGGGUGGCGGAAUUCCCGGUGUAGCAGUGAAAUGCGUAGAUAUCGGGAGGAACAUCCGUGGCGAAGGCGGCCAACCUGGACCAGCACUGACACUGAGGCACGAAAGCGUGGGGAGCAAACAGGAUUAGAUACCCUGGUAGUCCACGCCCUAAACGAUGCGAACUGGAUGUUGGGAGCAACUAGGCUCUCAGUAUCGAAGCUAACGCGUUAAGUUCGCCGCCUGGGAAGUACGGUCGCAAGACUGAAACUCAAAUGAAUUGACGGGGUCAUAGCUGUUUCC